CCUGAGUAGGCUGUUAGGUAGGCAGAUACAGAAUUUCAGGUGCUACCAGGUAUUUCGCAAGUGUAAUAAUAUUCCAUCAAGGGUAAGGAAAGGCCUGAUUGCAGAAUAUAGCUUACCAUUGGUAUUGCAAAGGACUUGCAUUGUUCCCUGGAUAAGGAACCAAACCGGAGCGACUAUAUCACGGACUCGUGCACACGAGGCAUCUAGUUCGCGCCGAUUACAAGAACACAGAAUCGAAUGGCGAGGAGAGAGCGAAUGAUAAUUUUAUCGACUGCGACGAUAAUAAUAAUAAAUUUGCAAGAUCAGUGGCCAGAUCUACGCACCACGCCCUAUCCGGCCGUUCUUUAUCAAGGUGAUCAAUUAUCAUCGGGAGAACAACGAUAAUUAAUAGCGUAAAGGAGUAUAAAAAUCGUACCCGGACUCUCGGGAACGGCGACCAUUGCUUAUUGGGGUGUAAAGGUAUAAGAACUAAUAAAAACAGUCUAAGGCCUUUUGUCAAUAUAACCGAUAGAAUAUAUAUCGAUUAUAUAACAGCUGGUACGUAUGGCUCGUGUGCCUUUUGAAUUUCGAUUUUAUCAGACCGAUUUAUAUGGACUUUGAUAUUAGGAGCGUGGCGAAUAGCCGAAUUUAAUAAUAUUGGAAAUAGAUUCUUUAGUCAAUUUAAUACAGCGAAGGUAUAUAGGAUACAAUAUGUGUGAUACAUAUGUGAAUAUUUUUCUCAUGGACUAUACAGCGCUAUAUUUAUCAGCUGUGUGCACCUAUCAUGGUCUUUAUAAACAACACUUAAAUUUUGUAGGAUACACAGAAUACAAUAUAUGUGAUAAAUAUGCGAAUAGUUUUCUCAUUGACUAUACAGGGCUGUAUUUAUCA